AUUGAACGCUGGCGGCAUGCCUUACACAUGCAAGUCGAACGGCAGCACGGGAGCUUGCUCCUGGUGGCGAGUGGCGAACGGGUGAGUAAUACAUCGGAACGUACCCAGGAGUGGGGGAUAACGUAGCGAAAGUUACGCUAAUACCGCAUAUUCUGUGAGCAGGAAAGCGGGGGAUCGCAAGACCUCGCGCUCUUGGAGCGGCCGAUGUCGGAUUAGCUAGUUGGUGAGGUAAAAGCUCACCAAGGCGACGAUCCGUAGCAGGUCUGAGAGGAUGAUCUGCCACACUGGGACUGAGACACGGCCCAGACUCCUACGGGAGGCAGCAGUGGGGAAUUUUGGACAAUGGGGGCAACCCUGAUCCAGCCAUGCCGCGUGAGUGAAGAAGGCCUUCGGGUUGUAGAGCUCUUUCGGCGGGGAAGAAAUGGCAACGGCUAAUACCCGUUGUUGAUGACGGUACCCGCAUAAGAAGCACCGGCUAACUACGUGCCAGCAGCCGCCGUAA
rnacentral:rRNA from 1 species